rnacentral:rRNA from 1 species
UCAGGAUGAACGCUAGCUACAGGCUUAACACAUGCAAGUCGAGGGGCAGCAUAAUGGAAGCUUGCUUUGGAUGAUGGCGACCGGCGCACGGGUGAGUAACGCGUAUCCAACCUUCCCUAUAGUAGAGAAUAGCCCGGCGAAAGUCGGAUUAAUGCUCUAUGUUGUAUUUAGAAGACAUCUGAAGAAUACCAAAGGUUUACCGCUAUAGGAUGGGGAUGCGUCUGAUUAGGUAGUAGGCGGGGUAACGGCCCACCUAGCCGACGAUCAGUAGGGGUUCUGAGAGGAAGGUCCCCCACAUUGGAACUGAGACACGGUCCAAACUCCUACGGGAGGCAGCAGUGAGGAAUAUUGGUCAAUGGACGGAAGUCUGAACCAGCCAAGUAGCGUGCAGGAUGACGGCCCUAUGGGUUGUAAACUGCUUUUAUAUAGGGAUAAAGUCGGGGACGUGUCCCCGUUUGUAGGUACUAUAUGAAUAAGGACCGGCUAAUUCCGUGCCAGCAGCCGCGGUAAUACGGAAGGUCCAGGCGUUAUCCGGAUUUAUUGGGUUUAAAGGGAGCGCAGGCUGAUGAUUAAGCGUGACGUGAAAUGUAGCCGCUCAACGGCUGAACUGCGUCGCGAACUGGUUAUCUUGAGUGAGUUCGAUGUUGGCGGAAUUCGUGGUGUAGCGGUGAAAUGCUUAGAUAUCACGAAGAACUCCGAUUGCGAAGGCAGCCAACAAGGCC